rnacentral:lncRNA from 1 species
GGAUGGGGAGCCGACACUGGGUGCUUCCCUGACAUGUGCUGGUCUCUGGUUACGAGAUGAGGGAGCCCACACCUCAGAGCAAAAGAAGAGAACCAGUACAGAAGCAACUUUUAAAAAUAUGCCUGGUUGAGAGACCUGCCCCUGCCUACAUCUUUCAGUGGGGUGUGUCCAUCCUCCUGCUUUCCCACAUCACAUUGAAAGAGCACUAAUGACGGGGAGGAUGGAGACAAUGUUUGGAUUUACUUAGGAAGCACGUACCCUAAACACUGGUGCAUGAAGAAUCCCCCCGGAGCUCUUAUCCUACAUAAUGCCUGCCUCUACACCACAAUGCAUGCUCACCACUUAGUUUUAAAGAAGAUGCAAACAGAUCUAGAAAGCCUCAACCAGCUGCUCCAUUUAAGAGAGGGAGUUUAAACUAUAGGGACUCAAAACAUCAUUUCUGGGAGACUGUGGGCCAAGAAAGAAUUAACUAAAUAGGUUUUUCUACCUGUGACAGGGCCACAUCCACUCUUGAAUUUGGGGGUGUUGGGGGAGGGGUCGUGUGUGUGUUGGUCAGAAGAGGGGCACCAUGCUGCAUGCUUUUUAGAGUAUACAGACUCUCAUGGCCCAGCCAAGGCUCAGCACUAGGCAUGUCACCGAAUUCUCUAACACCCACCAUGAUGAACUGAUGUGAGCUCCAUACCCUGAGGUUCCAGCAUCCAUCACAAUGAUCCGAGAGAAGGAGAUUAUCCCCCUGAAGCACAAAUUGGGGUCCUGGAUGGCAGCCAAUGAUCAUAAGAGAUGCCGUAGACACGAGGAGAGUCUAGCUUUUGCCGGGCUGAUUUGAAAGGAUUAGGUGGAUGUUUAGGGCCAGCCCUCACCAGCACGAAGAAAAGAUAUCCUGACGCUUCCAGCCUGACUAGGUCAGAGCCUACUACAGGUUACAGACAGUGUAGAGAAACAAAACAAGACAAAAAAAAAAUCACAGUACAGUACAUGGUGAACUCACACACGUGUUCACACGCACAGCCAAACAAGAGGACCGCACACAACGACACCUAGAGAAGCCACCAGGAUUAACGUGCUUUCUUCAUAUCUGCUCAUUAAACAAAAAAAUUAUCACGCAUAGCGUGUUUGAAAGUUAACAGUAACAUUUCAUACUACCACAGGGUUGUGAUAUGCAAAUUUAAAAUAUUUUAAACAGAAACCUUUACAAAAUAAUCCUAUUACAUAAGCAAUAUUUGCAUAGAAUUAUACAAGUAAAUUAUACAAUAUUUAAGCAGCAGCAACAUAUGCUGAAAUUUAAGACUAAUGAAGCUUGGUUGUGGCACGGAG